rnacentral:lncRNA from 1 species
CUUAAAUUUACUUAUUUAUGCUUUUAAAGUAUGCUCAUAAAUUUCAUUUGACCAUUUUAAUUGCUGAUGCACUCAUUUAUGUAUGUGGGAUGCCAGAGGGCAAUAUAAUUGCUCAGGUCUUGGCCUUAUGUGGAUAUAGUCAAGAUCUGACACUAGUCAAAUAUCGGCACGAGACAAUAUUGACAAACAGGCAUUUCUGCCUAGCAGAUGAUAAUGUGUAGACUAUAGUAUGAAUAAAGAUGAAGGCCCAAGAAUAUAAUAACAAGCAAUUCUUACGGUUAAUACUUUGGACCAUUAUUAAUAAGAGAGAUUGUGAUGGUACAAUCCAUAUUGGGAGAAUAAAUACCUGAUAUAACACACAAAGUCACAUCUUGACAAUUUGUUAGACAAUACUGACUGUCCAAAAAUCACUUUGCAUAUAAUCUAUUCUUCUACAAGAGUCUCUUUUAUGUGCAGUGGUUAGUCUGUAGUUUUGGGGGUUUCUUCUUAAGUUGCCAAAGAACAGUACAC